CGUGUAAAGUGAAUACAAAUUAAGCCAUUAGCAUUGAUCCAGUCAUUUGUUAUAUCGUCGUAGUAAUCUCUUUUUCGGUGUCAAUCUUUUAAGUAAAUAACGACCAAAAUGUAGACCCUUGCUUUACUAUCUGUGCAUGUCAUUGGAUGAUUUUUGUCGCUGUUACUUUUGAAAAGUGUAACAGCAGUAACUAGUUACUUUUAAAUACUAAACAGGUUGAGUAAAUAGCGCUCGUCCCUAAUUCAAGCCAUAACAAAUUGACAAUGACAAACAUUUGUAAAGUGUAAUACCGGAAACUAAAUUAAAUAAAUGCUAUUCCAUUGGUUAAUUGGCAUGGUAUAAAAUAAAACAUAUGAACAUAGCCUGCUAACACAACACAGGGGAUUCCUGCAAGUCGAGGUAGUAGAUUGGUGCUAGAGCUUAUUGGCUCUCAGGCAUGGAGACCCCUACCAAUGUGUUUUAUAGGGACAUUUUACAUGGGCCUGUCAUAGGAAGGCGGUAAUUGACAUGUCUAGCUUUAGAGAUGUUGAUGCUGAUUUCAAUGGCCAUCAUAAUAACCCUUCACAAGGUUAACGUUUAAUUAAUUUACUAGGACAAGGUCGCCUUGGUGCAUCUGUAAUUUUUUAAUGAAUUCUAUUAUAACUUAUGCAGGCAUACAUAUGUGUCAUCUGCAGCUACGCAUGCACCUUACAUUAUGUGUACAUAGUUAUUUACUACAUAUGUAAAGCAUUUUUUUUCUCAGUCUGGGUGAGCUUUAAUCCUUAAGGAGCUUCCUUUUUUGUUUAAAGUGAUAAUUAAGACGAUGUCUAUUCUAUAUUCAACCCGCAAGUGUCGGAAGACAGAGGUCAAAGUUUUUAGGAAAAUCAUUAAAAAGGCAUUAUUAUUUUUCACAAAUAAAAAGAACAUUCAUAAUAAACAAAAUUAAAAAAAAAAACACAAUUAAAAUUAAUGAAAAUUAAUGAGGUUACAAUAAAUCAAAUAUUCUCUUGCAUUAGUUCUUAUAUUAGCUACAAGGCUGUCAUCACUAUAUUUUGACAGGCGUAAAGCAGCAUUAAACUAGUUAUAUACAUAUAUAUGUAGGUAUGUACAUGUUUUUUUUUUAAAUAAUUAAAGCAAAAGGGUUUCUUUCAAAUGAGGCUAGAUUACUGAGUUUUAUUACUUUGUUCAAUAAAGUAUUAUUUGCGCAAGAGACAGGGCGUGGAAGCGAUUGAUUAUUGGGUUGUGAUAUGCAAAUACAUGCAGAUUCAUACAUACAUAUACAUAUGUAUAUGGUACAUAUGUAGGUACAUAUGUGGCUGACAGGGGAAAGGACGCAUAUGCGAACGAAAAAAAGUUAAAUAUGAAUAUACAUAUGAAUGUAUUUGUCAUCUGUCAGACACGCGAAAAAAGCCACCAUACAGUCA